UACGUAGGGGGCGAGCGUUGUCCGGAUUUAUUGGGCGUAAAGAGCGUGUAGGCGGUCAGGUAGGUCUGCUGUGAAAACUCGAGGCUCAACCUCGAGACGUCGGCGGAAACCAUCUGGCUAGAGUCCGGAAGAGGAGAGUGGAAUUCCUGGUGUAGCGGUGAAAUGCGCAGAUAUCAGGAAGAACACCCGUGGCGAAGGCGGCUCUCUGGGACGGUACUGACGCUGAGACGCGCAAGCGUGGGGAGCGAACAGG
rnacentral:rRNA from 1 species